AGGGGGAGGGGACCCGCGCCAGGGGCUGCGGGGUGGGGGUGGGGCCCAGGACUUUGCCCUUUGUCUCUCUGCAGAGCCACCGGCCGGUCGAAACCCGACCCCAUGGCGAAGCCAGGCAGCCGGCGAGGGGCAGUCUCCCGCUCUGGGGUCCUUUAGUAAAUCCAGACCCGACCUCCCUGUGGUCAGGGCUGUGACUGAGGUGGUCCUGUGGGGGAAGGGGGCUUCCCGCCUGCACCAGGCCUGCAAGCAUUUAAGUGGCAACCGGUUGGGGAUCAGAAAACGGGCUCAGAGAGGUCAAGGUGACACUGGCCAGCAAAUGUCACUACACUGUGCAGCCUGUUCCUGCUUGCCAGGAAAAAAACAAGCGUCAAAGGAUGGAGACUCCUAGAAUUCAAAACACUCAUCCAGCUUAUUUUAUGAAGUUUCUGGAGAUGGGGAGGAUUCAGGCAUUUAAAAAGGUAUAGGGGAGGAGAGGAAAGGUGGAAAUGGAUGGGGUGCAGAAGUUUUACACUAACAUGGAGUCGAAGACUGGCUGAGACCCUGGACAACUGGAAGGCCUGUUGUCUCUCUUUUACAAGAUAAACAAAAUCCAUGGAUAGAACCUCUGACUACUAUUACUGCCUCUGUUAUUGUUUCGGUCAGCCUUCAGGACCUGUGGACAGACACAAACAGCUCAUUUUGUAAAGAUUGCAGGUUACUUAAAUUGACACUUAACUCUUUAAGGUUCUAUUUCUCAGGCCAAGACCCCAGCUACUGGGAGAGAGGAACAGCUACUUGCACUUCCAUUUUCUCUCCAACUGUCUCAUCCUAUUUUCCCUUUACCUACUCUUCCUCUCUUCUUGCCUCUUUUCACUUCACAUUUACCCACUGGCUUUUUGCCUUAGAAUGGAGAGCUCCUGAGGCAGCCCAGGUGCUGGAAAGGGUCUGCAGCCCGCAGCCCGCAGCCGGUGAGGGGGAACCCUCUCGUGGGGUAUCUGCUGCGAGGUUUGCGAUCUGGGGUUCCCAGGACUAAGGCGCACCACAAGCGGCCUGGGAUCUCCUGGGGUCUCAGGGAUCUGAGAGGGGAAGUCCUCCUCGGAGACCCAGGCCAGCGGAUGUUCUCUGUCAGGGGCUUGUUAAGAGAAGGCAGGCGGGCGGCCCCACCUCAGAGCGAGACGAGAUUGCCGGGCUGGGACUGGCGCGGGGGCGGGCGGGGAAGGUUAGGGCCGCCGGGCCGGGGCGAGCGCUCCAGGAAGAGCCUGCAGCGCCGCCGCCACUUUCUCUCUCUCUACUCUCUCUCUUUUUUGAAAGGGGAAGGGAAGGCCGGCAACUCCAAAAGCAAAUAUAGCCUUGCCCUGAGCUGAGUCUACCACCCGUCUCCGACCCCUCUCCCGUGGGUAACACUGUGAGACUCCAGCCGCUCCCCUUUAAAAGGGAAGCGGGAAAUCCACCCAACCCCGUAUCUCCCCUCCCUCCCUCUCUCCCUCCCCCCUCCCCGUCUGGAAUUUCCAAGCCGGGACUAACUCGUCUGAUUUCUCCAGUCUCCCCCUGCUGCUUUUUUCCUCCCCUUUUCUCUCCCUAACACUCCCAUCCCAAAUUCUAAGCUGCACUUUCUGGAAAACAUUAGCCACAUUUCAAGAAUCUUUUAAGAGGAUAGGGAACGAACCACACUUAUUUUAAAUUCUAACAGCUGGGAAAAUGUCCGUUCUUCAAAUGCCUUUGGUUCAUAAACUUAUUCUAACAACCCCAUCACCACCACUACCACCCCACACACAAAAAUCAACAGAUCUAACCACUAAAUAACUCUUCACAAAACCUUUAAACUUCAACAAAUAGCACUUGCUGUUCCCCACUUCUCACUCAACUAAACCAGAUCUGAAUUUUAAAAUGUUUUAAAAUUGUAUACUCAGUAGACUACCUCAAUAGUAUCUUUGUCAACUGGCUGCUACACAUUAAAGUAUAGUAUAAAUACACUCUUAAAAAGUAAGCCUUAAAAGUACCCACACACAUAGAUUAAAAUGAUACAUAUUAAGGUAAUUUUAAAAGAUUAGAAGCUCAGAACCUUUGAAUCAAGGUUCUUCCAAUUGCUAAUGUCAUGUAUUUAAUCUCUGAAACAUAAUUAUGUUUUUUUCCACCAAAAGCUGUGCCAUUAAAACUUUACCUUUUCAACAAUUAACAAUACUUUGAAUAAAUUAGUGAUGGGACUUGCAGUUCUUCCCCCUUUUUACUAAAAAGUUCUCCAUCUGAGAAACCAUUAUGGUAAAAUUUCAUCUUUUUAAUUUGGGUCAGAAAAUAAGGGGUUCUAGAAACCUACAAUUCUUCUAAGGGACAGUCAGUUGCCACUGCCCUUACAAAACUCUCAUCUUGAAAUACUGACCACCCAAAUGAGAACAGUUAAGGAUUUCUACCAGCAGUGAAGGAAACUAAUUUAUGAAUUUGCAAAGUUUAAUUUUUAGGUGGAAAUUAAAAUAGGGAAAGAAUGUACCCCAGUUUCCACCUUUCCUCCAAACAGUGCACAAAAACUUAACAUUCAACCAUUUUUUUCACUUAUGUAAAGCAAAAAAAAAAAAAAAAUUCUAACCUAAUAUUAAUAAGAAAACCUUUUUAAAAGAGUAAUCAAUUGUUUCUACUUUAAACUUCCAUGUUGAAUAGUAGUCACAUGUUAUCUUUUACCUCGUAUGAGUUAAAAACUUUCUUUUUGACUUGGAUACUAAUUCAUAAUUACAACCAUUAAAGUAAAAGUGCCUGAAAACCCUCCCGCUCUAGUAGUUUUCAUUCCCUUUUUAACCCCUCUUCAUUCAUUUUCAGCCCCAAAGUACAAGGUAGGUUUUCUUUUUUCCUUAAGUGCAAAUCCAUUUCUGAAGACAAUUUUUAGGUUGUUUUGAAAACAUUUAGUGAUCCAAGUGAUUUCUUCAGAGCCUCAACAAAUCAUUGUUAAAAUAUAUUUAAAAUAUUUUUUGCCAUUUAUAAGACAUCCCUUCACAGAUUUUUAAAGCUGUUAACUUCAAAAAAUUAAACUGUAAAAUUUGGACACUUUCUUUUGGGAGUUCUCAAUUUUAUGAACGAUUUAUAAAACUAAUUUUGUUUAAUAGGUACUUAAGGGAGUUAGCCCACCUCAUUUUUAGUCAACAUAGAGGAAAAGGACCAUUAAUCUGCCUAAAGAAAUCACCAAACUUAGAAUUCUUUAAUGUGAACACAUUUCACCUUUAAAAAAAAUGAGUCAGUGCAUCUCUUUCAUUUUUUUCUUAAUUAACAGUAACACCUUUUAUUUUGAUGACACCAGUUGACAGUGAAUAUGCUAUCUUUAGGUCACAUUCCUCUAGAAAAAGGCACACCACAGUGGCAAGUGUAACAAAGGUUUAAUUCCCUUAAAAAGCAAAUCAUGUCUCAAAGUAAUCAAGUCACACUAAAAUGGUACCCCCUUUACCUCAACUACUCCUAAGUCUCUCAGAAUAAAACAUAUACAAGCCCUUUCCACAACUGUUUUUAAAUGCAUUUGGUUUUUCUCUUUUGUCUCAGUAUCUGGCAGUGAACAUAUACAAAUUCUCAACAAAAAAGCACAAAUUGUUAACCAAAUUCCAACACUAAGGGGGUUUGAGAUGGUGAUCUCUAAGAAAUUAGUAUCACCUCAUUUUAAAAAUUCAAGCUAACUGCUGUUUUCAGUUGAAAUGCAUAGUGUUCGGCCUCUUGAGUUCUUAAAAAGGUACAAAUUAUAUGUAUCAAAUAAAUUCAAACUAAGAACAAAAUACAUUAAGAGGUAUUGCUACAGCAUAUCUUUUGUUUGAUUUCCCCCUCUUAAAAAACAAAACAAAACAACCAGGAACAUUUAGUUGUUGGGUUUUUAUGAAUUAUUUUAGAAAUUGAAAUCAUAGUUCAUUUGGAACUGAAUGCCUCAAGAAGAGUUCAUAAGGAAAAUACAAGAGUAUAUAUACACAAAAUAUUAUUUGUAUAGUUGUUCAUUUUGCUUAGAAUAUAUUAGUCAUAAUUAACUAGUUCCUGUUCUAUACAUCCAUGAGAUGGAAAGUCAGUAACAAACCUAACUGACGAAAUACUUUUCAGACACAGACUAAAGACACAUACCACAACAUACUUCCUCAAAGACACAAAAUGAUAGAGCAAACUGACUUAAUGAAAACAAACUUUCUUUUUUAAAUCUUGAGACUUCAAAAAUUGAUUCAUUCUAGAAAAAUGAAGUGCCUUCUCACCACCAACCAAAAUAAAAAGCAAAGAAAACACAACUGACUCAAUGUUUGGGCUAAAAAAAUUAUUUCAGGAAGGGGAGAACACAUAAAAGAUCUAAUUUAAUAUGGGUGUGGACAGAUUUUUUUUUUUUACCCAGUCUUCUCACAAACCCCCUCUCCAUUCCAACUCAAAAAAGAGCCCUCAGUAAUGCAUUUUGGAGGGAAAAAGGGCCUAGAAAUGACUUAAAAGCAAGCAGAUGGCUUGGGGAAAAAGAUUCAUAAAUACAGGGCACCAUGAAAAUUAAAAUAUAAAUGUUUUGAGUUCCAUUUCAUCACGUUUUGCUAUUUCUCUUGCUUUUCACUUUAUUCCCUAAAAUUUAAACCAUCCUCAAGAGCAAAAGAAAAAAUCCACAUAUUUUAGAAUUCCACUUAUUCUGGAUAUUUUUCAUCAACACUCAGCUUUCAGUUCAAAUAUCCAUAUCCUUUUCAAUAAACCUGCUGGUGUCAGUGUAUGUUCCUUAGACACAUCUCCAGAAAAUGUUUCAAAAUAACAAAUAAGACUUCUUUUCUUCCUUCCCAUUUUAUUGCCUCUUUACUCCUAACUCUAAUUGCCUUUCCAAUAACACGGUAUUUCAAACAUGUGAAGUUAAAUCGCAAGCUCUAUAAACAUAGUAACAAGCCAUAUUGAUCUAUAGACACAAUAGUUCCAAGUUACUUAAAUAUCAAGCUAAGCAACUGAACAGAUUUUUAUCUCACAUUAAACUUUCUAGGCCCUCUUAAUGGUCCCCCAGAAAAAGCAGUCAUCAUCUCCCAUCUACCCGGAAAAGGCCAGAGACUAUCCUGAAAUGUACCAAGUUUUCAGCUGAAAUGGGGGGUGAGGAAGAUCAAAGAUUUACUGGGGGCUGCUUUCCAGCUUGGGACAUGAGAGCAAACUCUACACUGUCAACAUGUUUAAAGUCUGAUUUGAGAAAGUAGAAAGACUCUGCCCUUAUACUUCCCAGCCAGAGUUCAAGGAAAGGUUUCAGAGUUCAAUGCAAGAUUUGAAAUCCACCAUGAAUUCUCGGUAAGUAUGAUGGAGGUACCCCAUUUUGCUGAAGAGAGAGGAUAGAGGGUAUUGGAACACACACGAACACACACACACACACACACACACACACACACACACACACCAUUCAUCCACGGAGUUCUAGACCCUCCAAAGAGCCCCAGCUCACAGCCUCAACACAAAGCUCUCACCCCAGAUGGUCCCCUGGUAACAAUGGGCUGAAGGAGUGGGGGUAGGGGGGCUCGAAAAGGAUAGUACAGCCAAGGCAUAUUCUUUGGAAAAUCCAGCUGGGGAGAGGGAUGAUGUGAGAUAUGAGGGAUUGGGGGUGGGGGGUCCAUGGAAAAUAAAAAGUCUUUGCCUGUUGUAGAAAUAUAAAUAAAGUACAAGCAUAAGGGGAUUCUUUGGGGGCCGGGAAACUCAUUCCACAUCGCUUCGGGAGAAGGGCAAUCCACUUAAGAAUUAUGGUGUGGAAAGAGUGGGAAAAACAGAAAAUGAGGCCUGCUACGAAGUUGCAGAAAUCGCCAUGAGUCUGAACUCUUCAAAGAUUUUAAGGUUCCCCCACAAAAAACGGCCCCACGAGUUGAACAAACAAACUCCACAAGGUUUCUCCCCUAUUGAUUUUCUUUCCCCUUUAAUUCUGCAAGUAACAUCUUUUAGCCUACCCCAGCCCCAACUUAUUUAUUUUUUUUUUACAAGCUGUAAACCACCCAUUACAAGAUCUUGGCCAAUCUUCCCUCCCUGCCCCCAACAUCCGGAGUUGGGGGUGGGAAAGACCAGUA